UACGUAGGCAGCAAGCGUUGUUCGGAGUUACUGGGCGUAAAGGGUGUGUAGGCGGUUCUCUAAGUUUGGUGUGAAAUCUCCCGGCUCAACUGGGAGGGUGCGCCGAAAACUGGAGGGCUAGAGUACUGGAUGGGAGAGUGGAAUUCCUGGUGUAGCGGUGAAAUGCGUAGAUAUCAGGAGGAACACCGGUGGCGAAGGCGGGUCUCUGGGCCGAUACUGACGCUGAGGAGCGAAAGCGUGGGGAGCGAACAGG
rnacentral:rRNA from 1 species